rnacentral:rRNA from 1 species
UACGUAGGGUGCAAGCGUUGUCCGGAAUUAUUGGGCGUAAAGAGCUCGUAGGCGGUUUGUUGCGUCGGCUGUGAAAUCCCGAGGCUCAACCUCGGGUCUGCAGUCGAUACGAGCAAACUAGAGUGUUGCAGGGGAGACUGGAAUUCCUGGUGUAGCGGUGAAAUGCGCAGAUAUCAGGAGGAACACCGGUGGCGAAGGCGGGUCUCUGGGCCACUACUGACGCUGAGAAGCGAAAGCGUGGGGAGCGAACAGG